rnacentral:rRNA from 1 species
UACAGAGGUCUCAAGCGUUGUUCGGAUUCAUUGGGCGUAAAGGGUGCGUAGGCGGUGAGGUAAGUCGGAUGUGAAAUCCCCGGGCUCAACCUGGGAACUGCAUUUGUGACUGUAGAGCUGGAGUGCGGCAGAGGGGGAUGGAAUUCCGCGUGUAGCAGUGAAAUGCGUAGAUAUGCGGAGGAACACCGAUGGCGAAGGCAAUCCCCUGGGCCUGCACUGACGCUCAUGCACGAAAGCGUGGGGAGCAAACAGG